GGACCUGGCCACUAGGCCGUGUGUUCAUCUGCAUCCCCAAGGUGGACACUCAAGCCAGGCUAGGCUGCCAGGCAGGCCUGGAGGAAAGUGUCGUUUCUCAGCUUCUCUUCUGAGAAAUUAUAGAUCUGCAGGGAGAAAGUCCACACCCAGAAAUUUACACGUUCACCCCGAGGGUCCCCCCAAGGAGUCUGGUUUCUGGUCUUCGUGGAAAUGGUGUUGUACAGAAGCCCCAGGCCCGGCCACUCGUGUGCCAAGUCAUAGCAUCCCUUCCCUCCUUCCUGUCGUGGUGCUGCGACCCUGUGGGGUCCUUGUGCGUUUCUGUGGUCCUGAGUGGACCCACUGGGACCAGCCUGUGUCAUCCUUGCAGAGGGUUGUCAGAACAGAAAUCAGAGGAAAGAAAAGAGUUUAUUGGAACCUUAAGAAGUCAAGAUUCUGGCCUAAGAAAAUAUUCUGACAAAGAAUAAGAAAACUCUUUCUUUGAGCUACGGAGCAGGAGAAAGGCUGGAGAAGAAAGGAAGAGAAGGAACCUGAAGUUCUGCCACCUCAGUGGAAUCCCAGAUGGGCCUGAGGGCCCCAGAGCAGAGGUGACCCUGACCUCUGCUGAGGACUGACUGGACACAGUGGAACAGGUGUGUGUACCCUGGGGACAUACAUGGCUGCAGGACCAGCCUUCCUCUCUGGAUCCACAGCACCUGGGCCAGGAUCUCUCCCAGAUCCACUGAGAUCCAAUUCUUCCCCAGGCCUCUCUGCUGCCCCAACUCAGAACCAGUGUCCAUAGAAGUGGAUGGUCCAGGAAAAGCCUCUCCUUUUACGGUUUUACUGACAGAUUAAUAAUUAAAAGUUUCAGAUUAUUAGAGAGAGGUGGGGGUUGCACAACACUGUGAAUGUACUAAAUGCCACUGAAUUGUUGUCCCUGGUGGUCCAGUGGUUAAGACUCUGCACUUCCAACGCAGGGGGCACGGGUUUGAUCCCUGGUCAGGGAACUAAGAUCCUGUAUG